rnacentral:ncRNA from 1 species
UGAUGUCUACUCUCUUAAUAAAAGGGCGUUUCAUAAUUUUAUCCUAGAAGGGAGUAAGUCUGUCUGUAUUUGAAGCAUAUCACUGAUAAUUGCCUUUGCAAUAUUAAUUUUGCUAUUAUAGGUAACAA